rnacentral:lncRNA from 1 species
UUGGAGAACCAAACUGGGAGCAAUGUAGAAGACUGACAAGGGCUGCUGCUAUGAAUACAAGCACACCUGACACAGCAAGGUGCUCUGUUUGUGCUAUAUUUAAGGAUAAGUACUACAUUUAUUCACCCACUGAGCUUUAUGUCUGUUUGUGCUAAGACUCAUAAAUGUUACAACAUUUGUUGGCUUUUGAUCUCAUUACCAACAUCAUCUUUUGCAAGAAAUUGAAGCAAAUGAGAAGCAUAGAUAUCAACUCCAACAUAUGAUUGAGGAGGCCAUUAGUAGCAAUAAAACUUGCUCAUUCUUAGCCUACCCACGCUAUUGGGAAUGGCUAAUGCUGAGCUUCAAUUUGGAAUGGCAAUGAGGGAGAAAGUCAUUAACACCGACAGAAAGCACUAAGAAACAUUUGGGACUUGCUUAUGAUUAUUUACUUAAUAUAGUUGUACAAUUAUGCACCCUUGCGAAGUUAUCUGCCUGUAGAAAAACCAGAGAAGUUGUGUAGGUGAGAGUGCGAGGAUUUGUUGCUAGAUUAAACAAACAUAUAUAGUUGAGCUAGAAAGGAGGUAGCUUCCUCAGUUUAUCUGCAAUCAGUGGUGUUCACCUGGUCAGUUGCUGACCAAAGAAUUUAUGCUCAACAACCCUUACAUUUACAUCCAAAUGUGGAAAACAAAACACCUCAACUUAAUAAUAAUUCUCUCUGCCCUUGGAUUUACAUCCAAGAGUGGUCGAACAUUAUUUUUUUGGUCAAUAACUGACUAGGUGAACAUUUUCGCUGCAAGGUAUAUGAUUGAUUAGGCACUGAUCUCUUUUGAUUCAAGUUGAUUUGAAAGUGAACGAAUCCAUAUUGGUAAUAUAAUUAGGUAAU